rnacentral:rRNA from 1 species
GAUGAACGCUGGCGGCGUGCCUAAUACAUGCAAGUCGAGCGAACGGACGAGAAGCUUGCUUCUCUGAUGUUAGCGGCGGACGGGUGAGUAACACGUGGAUAACCUACCUAUAAGACUGGGAUAACUUCGGGAAACCGUAGCUAAUACCGGAUAAUAUUUUGAACCGCAUGGUUCAAAAGUGAAAGACGGUCUUGCUGUCACUUAUAGAUGGAUCCGCGCUGCAUUAGCUAGUUGGUAAGGUAACGGCUUACCAAGGCAACGAUGCAUAGCCGACCUGAGAGAGUGAUCGGCCACACGAGAACGUAGACACGGUCCAGACUCCUACGGGAGGCAGCAGUAGGGAAUCUUCCGCAAUGGGCGAAAGCCUGACGGAGCAACGCCGCGUGAGUGAUGAAGGUCUUCGGAUCGUAAAACUCUGUUAUUAGUGAAGAACAUAUGUGUAAGUAACUGUGCACAUCUUGACGGUACCUAAUCAGAAAGCCACGGCUAACUACGUG